rnacentral:tRNA from 2 species
CCGGAUGUGGCUCAGUUUGGUAGAGCACGUGCUUUGGGAGCAUGGGGCCGCAGGUUCGAAUCCUGUCAUCCGGACCA